UUAGUUGCGUUGUUAGCUGGUGCUACUGUAGUUCCGUUGCUAGGUGGCGCUACUGUAGGUGCGUUGCUAGCUGGCGCUACUGUAGGUGCGUUGCUAGCUGGUGCUACUGUAGUUGCGUUGCUAGCUGGCGCUACUGUAGGUGCGUUGCUAGCUGGUGCUACUGUAGGUGCGUUGCUAGCUGGUGCUACUGUAGUUGCAUUGCUAGCUGGUGCUACUGUAGGUGAGUUGCUAGCUGGUGCUACUGUAGUUGCGUUGCUAGCUGGUGCUACUGUAGUUGCGUUGCUGGCUGGUGCUACUGCGGUUGUAUUGCUCUGAGCAUAGGUGGCCAUAAAUUCCAAGGACAGUGUCACCAACAAAAAACUGAGGAGCAGUCGUUUAUCCAUGCCUUCAGGAAAGGGAAAAUAAUUUAAUUAAGCAAUACAAAUACAAAAUUAGCUUCAGUUAGAUGUGAAAUGAGAUUUUCUUUCAAGGUAAAAGUGUUUUAAAUGUUU